CUAUAAUGAUGGCAAACUACUUGAAAAGGUAGGACGCAAAGCUAUGGGUCUAAGGUCUAGUUGACUAUGAUCGCCUGGUUGCCAAG
rnacentral:ncRNA from 1 species